AUGACGGGAACAUGGCAGAGUACGGAUAAAGGCAGGGGAAGUUUAUACCUUGACGAAGUUGCCAAGGGUCUUGGUGGAUCCACGCGAGGAAGUGAAGACAUCAUCGAUCCCGGCGAACUGCAGCACCUUCUUGGGGACGCGGGCGGCGACGAUUCCGGAACCCCUGGGGGCGGGCACCAUGCGCACGGUGACGGAGCCGCACUUGCCGGUGACCUUGCAGGGCACGGUGUGGGGCAGGCCGAUCUUGUUCCCCCAGUAGCCCCUCCUGACGGGCACGAUCGAGAGCUUGGCGAGGAUGAUGGCGCCGCGGAUGGCCGUGGCCACCUCCUUGGCGCACUUGACGCCGAGGCCGACGUGGCCGUUGCUGUCGCCGACGACGACGAAGGCCUUGAAGCGGGUGCGCUGCCCGGCGCGGGUCUGCUUCUGCACCGGGGUGAUCUUCAUCACCUCGUCCUUGAGCCCCGGGCAGAGCGUCUCCACGAUCUGGUGCUCCUUGACGGGGAGCGAGUGUAG
rnacentral:rRNA from 1 species